CGUCGAGCGGCGGACGGGUGAGUAAUGCCUAGGAAAUUGCCCUGAUGUGGGGGAUAACCAUUGGAAACGAUGGCUAAUACCGCAUGAUGCCUACGGGCCAAAGAGGGGGACCUUCGGGCCUCUCGCGUCAGGAUAUGCCUAGGUGGGAUUAGCUAGUUGGUGAGGUAAGGGCUCACCAAGGCGACGAUCCCUAGCUGGUCUGAGAGGAUGAUCAGCCACACUGGAACUGAGACACGGUCCAGACUCCUACGGGAGGCAGCAGUGGGGAAUAUUGCACAAUGGGCGCAAGCCUGAUGCAGCCAUGCCGCGUGUAUGAAGAAGGCCUUCGGGUUGUAAAGUACUUUCAGUCGUGAGGAAGGCGGUGUCGUUAAUAGCGGCAUUGUUUGACGUUAGCGACAGAAGAAGCACCGGCUAACUCCGUGCCAGCAGCCGCGGUAAUACGGAGGGUGCGAGCGUUAAUCGGAAUUACUGGGCGUAAAGCGCAUGCAGGUGGUUUGUUAAGUCAGAUGUGAAAGCCCGGGGCUCAACCUCGGAAUAGCAUUUGAAACUGGCAGACUAGAGUACUGUAGAGGGGGGUAGAAUUUCAGGUGUAGCGGUGAAAUGCGUAGAGAUCUGAAGGAAUACCGGUGGCGAAGGCGGCCCCCUGGACAGAUACUGACACUCAGAUGCGAAAGCGUGGGGAGCAAACAGGAUUAGAUACCCUGGUAGUCCACGCCGUAAACGAUGUCUACUUGGAGGUUGUGGCCUUGAGCCGUGGCUUUCGGAGCUAACGCGUUAAGUAGACCGCCUGGGGAGUACGGUCGCAAGAUUAAAACUCAAAUGAAUUGACGGGGGCCCGCACAAGCGGUGGAGCAUGUGGUUUAAUUCGAUGCAACGCGAAGAACCUUACCUACUCUUGACAUCCAGAGAACUUUCCAGAGAUGGAUUGGUGCCUUCGGGAACUCUGAGACAGGUGCUGCAUGGCUGUCGUCAGCUCGUGUUGUGAAAUGUUGGGUUAAGUCCC
rnacentral:rRNA from 1 species